rnacentral:rRNA from 1 species
AGAGUUUGAUCCUGGCUCAGGAUGAACGCUAGCGGCAGGCUUAAUACAUGCAAGGCGAAGGGGCACUUCGGUGUCACUGUCGUACGGGUGCGUAACGCGUAUGCAACCUACCUAUCACUGGGGGAUAGCCCGGGGAAACCCGGAUUAAUACCGCAUAAAACAGGGGCACCGCAUGGUGAUAUUUGUUAAAGAUUUAUUGGUGAUAGAUGGGCAUGCGUUCGAUUAGCUAGUUGGCGGGGUAACGGCCCACCAAGGCGACGAUCGAUAGGGGAGCUGAGAGGUUGAUCCCCCACACGGGCACUGAGAUACGGGCCCGACUCCUACGGGAGGCAGCAGUAGGGAAUAUUGGGCAAUGGAUGCAAGUCUGACCCAGCCAUGCCGCGUGCCGGAUGAAGGCCCUCAGGGUUGUAAACGGCUUUUAUUCGGGAAGAAGAGCAGGGAUGCGUCCUUGUGUGACGGUACCGAAUGAAUAAGCACCGGCUAACUCCGUGCCAGCAGCCGCGGUAAUACGGAGGGUGCGAGCGUUGUCCGGAUUUAUUGGGUUUAAAGGGUGCGUAGGUGGCUGUUUAAGUCAGUGGUGAAAUACGGUUGCUCAACAAUCGAGGUGCCAUUGAUACUGAAUAGCUUGAAAUAAUUGGAGGCUGCCGGAAUGGAUGGUGUAGCGGUGAAAUGCAUAGAUAUCAUCCAGAACACCGAUUGCGAAGGCAGGUGGCUACGAUUGGUUUGACACUGAGGCACGAAAGCAUGGGGAGCAAACAGGAUUAGAUACCCUGGUAGUCCAUGCUGUAAACGAUGAGGACUCGCUGUUUGAUGGUAGCAUUGAGCGGCUUAGGGAAACCGUUAAGUCCUCCUCCUGGGGAGUACGCCGGCAACGGUGAAACUCAAAGGAAUUGACGG